rnacentral:rRNA from 1 species
CCUACGGGAGGCAGCAGUGGGGAAUUUUGCGCAAUGGGGGCAACCCUGACGCAGCAACGCCGCGUGAGUGAUGAAGGCCUUCGGGUCGUAAAGCUCUGUCAGAGGGGAAGAAAUGCAGGUGGUGAACAACCAUUCUGUUUGACGGUACCCUCAAAGGAAGCACCGGCUAACUCCGUGCCAGCAGCCGCGGUAAUACGGAGGGUGCGAGCGUUGUUCGGAAUUAUUGGGCGUAAAGCGCGUGUAGGCGGUUUGUUAAGUCUGAGGUAAAAGCCCCGGGCUCAACCGGGGAAGUGCAUUGGAUACUGGCAGACUUGAGUACGGGAGAGGAGAGUGGAAUUCCCAGUGUAGGAGUGAAAUCCGUAGAUAUCGGGAGGACCACCAGAGGCGAAGGCGGCUCUCUAUGCUACUCCUGACGCUGAGGCACGAAAGCUAGGGGAGCAAACGGGACUAGAUACCCUUGUAGU